rnacentral:rRNA from 1 species
CCUACGGGAGGCUGCAGUGAGGAAUAUUGGUCAAUGGACGCAAGUCUGAACCAGCCAAGUAGCGUGCAGGAUGACGACCCUCCGGGUUGUAAACUGCUUUUAGUUGGGAAUAAAAGGGGGCUCGUGAGCCCCGUAUUGUAUGUACCAUCAGAAAAAGGACCGGCUAAUUCCGUGCCAGCAGCCGCGGUAAUACGGAAGGUCCGGGCGUUAUCCGGAUUUAUUGGGUUUAAAGGGAGCGUAGGCCGGCUUUUAAGUCAGCUGUGAAAGUCCGCGGCUCAACCGUGGAAUUGCAGUUGAAACUGGAGGCCUUGAGUGCACACAGGGAUGCCGGAAUUCAUGGUGUAGCGGUGAAAUGCUUAGAUAUCAUGAAGAACUCCGAUUGCGAAGGCAGCCUACUAAACUGCCACUGACAUUGAUGCUCGAAAGUGUGGGUAUCAAACAGGAUUAGAUACCCUAGUAGUC